GAUGAAGAACGUAGCGAAAUGCGAUAAGUAGUGUGAAUUGCAGAAUUCAGUGAAUCAUCGAGUCUUUGAACGCACAUUGCGCCCCCUGGUAUUCCGGGGGGCAUGCCUGUCCGAGCGUCAUUGCUGCCCUCAAGCACGGCUUGUGUGUUGGGCCCCGCCCCCCGGCUCCCGGGGGGCGGGCCCGAAAGGCAGCGGCGGCACCGUGUCCGGUCCUCGAGCGUAUGGGGCUUCGUCACCCGCUCCGUAGGCCCGGCCGGCGCCCGCCGGCGACCCCCCUCAAUCUUUUCAGGUUGACCUCGGAUCAGGUAGGGAUACCCGCUGAACUUAAGCAUAUCAAUAAGCGGAGGA
rnacentral:misc_RNA from 1 species